rnacentral:lncRNA from 1 species
AUGAGGAAUAAGUGGAGGGACUUUGCAAGUGUAACCAAACGGAGGGCAGCAGCACACAGAAGGGAAGCAAAAAAGACUGGUGGGGGUAUCAAUUCAGUUCCACCUCUGAAUGCACAGAAAGAGAAAGUUUUGGCCAUCCUGGGUCCUGAGGCAUUGGAAGGCUUCAUUGGAGGCAGUGAUGCAUGUGCAUCGACCAGGCCUUUGUAUUCAAAGUUGAGCCCUCCAACAUUGGGCCUCUUCCAGUCUGGCCCUUCCACAUUGGGCCUCCUCCAAUCUGGCCCUUCCACAUCGGGCUUCCUCCAGUCUGGCCCUUCCACAUCGGGCCUCCUCCAGUCUGGCCCUUCAAUGUCAACAGUGAGUCCUGAUCCUGGGCUAUUGCUCCCUUCCCCUGACUUACCUCAGUCUGAGGUCUUCUCGUGUGCUGAGCAACAUCCUCCUGAUUUUCUUGAAAACCUGCCAUUCAUCUCCCGACAAAGGAGAAACAGGGGACGCUGUGGCUGCAGUGAAAAGCUGCUGCAGUCUGAGAAGAAGAAAAUAACUGAACUCCAGGAAAUCAGGAAAGAACUGACAGCCCUGAGGGAGCAGCAAGACCGACAUCAUCAGGAGGUAAUGGCCUAUAGGAGGGCUAAAUUAGAACUGUUACAACAACAGGCCAGCAAGCCCUCUUUAACCAUGUUUUUACCAACCGACAAUCAACAGAUGUAACCCUCAUCAUCUUCUUUUCUAUUUUUAUUUAUUAUUAUUAUGUGGCUACAUUGCCACCAUGCCUCCCAAAAUCCAACCCCUCGUCCUGUCCAGGGAGGUGGAAACAGACAAAUGGGGCUCUGGUGAAGCUGUGCUCUGGUGUAGGUUUUCAAUGAAAAAGCAGUUCAAAGCUGAAAUACAAAAUAAAAUAUACUAUUUUAUGUCCAAACAUACUCUUUUGUAAUAUGCAAAUGCUCUUUUGUAUAUGUACCCUAAGUGCUUUUCUAAUACAUAUGGCAUUAAACAGUAUUUUAACAUGUGGAUUAGUAACUUGACUCAAAGUAGUAUAUUAAUGCCAGUUCAAAAUGUGGCCAAUUGCUAAAUGAUGUUUUAUUAACAAAGUUCGGGAGAAGCACGAGGAGAUAAUUAACUCAGGUGGAGAGCACUCAGCAAUCAAUGGUAAGAGGUGUAUAUAUACAGCAGUCUCACCUCAAUUCAUUUGACAGUCUCGCAGCAGUUAGUAGCUUUUGGUUCCAGCUCUGCCAUUAUGUCACAAUCGAGCUCUUCAUCUGAUGAGAACGGAAACACCACCAAGGAUGCACUUUCACAUUCCACCGGUCCCACAGCCAUCCCUCCAACGCCGGACGUCGCACCUGAGCCCCAGGCUUCUUCACGCGGCCGCACACCGACCCGAACAGGACUACGCUCACCAAGACAUACAGGCUUCGUGAAAAAUGAACAAAGCGGAGCUGUAUGAUCUGUACGUUUCCCUACAGUCGACUCCAAAGACGACCCACAGGCAGAGCAAAGCCCGCAGGGCCCAAAAUUCACGAGCCUAGACCGCACCCCAGAUUCCGCCAUGUCAGGUCCACACCCACCUCCCGAUGAGGCCCAGCCCUCCACCACGGUUUCUGCUGCCGCAGUGCCACAUGCAGCCGGGCCCAGCGGCCUCCCCACAGCCACUCAGUUUCAUACUCCUGCUGUACAUAACCCUUUUUCUUUUCAGUGGCCUACAGCCCCCGUUGGAGACACUAGCGCGAGGCCAUCGCUGCUGAAUGAUUAUCAAGCAAUCAUAGCUGAGCUCGCGCUGUCCUAUGGGGGUGGGCACUUCUACACGUACCAUAAACUCUUCUCAGCAAAAAGUGCAGUGCGAGUCGCACAGUGGAAUCAAAGCGCAUACUGGGGCGCACUCGACUCCGAUCUCCACAGCAGAGUGUUUUUAGGCUGCAAAAAUAUCACUUGCGCAGUUUGCAGGUCAGUUACGCACUCAACCGCAUCGUGCCCGCAGGUUAACCCUUCCACUCUUCCCUACGUGGGAACAAACACCGCUAAAUCCACCAGCUACGUGCCUCUGGCAGCAACCACCCACGCAAACCAGGACUCCGCAUUCGACGAAAGCCGACAGCCCUGUAACCAUUUUAACAAGGGUAAAUGUAACCGAGCACGCUGCCGGUUUAUGCACGUCUG